rnacentral:rRNA from 1 species
GAUGAACGCUGGCGGCGUGCCUAAUACAUGCAAGUCGAGCGAACAGAUAAGGAGCUUGCUCCUUUGACGUUAGCGGCGGACGGGUGAGUAACACGUGGGUAACCUACCUAUAAGACUGGGAUAACUUCGGGAAACCGGAGCUAAUACCGGAUAACAUUUGGAACCGCAUGGUUCUAAAGUGAAAGAUGGUUUUGCUAUCACUUAUAGAUGGACCCGCGCCGUAUUAGCUAGUUGGUAAGGUAACGGCUUACCAAGGCAACGAUACGUAGCCGACCUGAGAGGGGGAUCGGCCACACUGGAACUGAGACACGGUCCAGACUCCUACGGGAGGCAGCAGUAGGGAAUCUUCCGCAAUGGGCGAAAGCCUGACGGAGCAACGCCGCGUGAGUGAUGAAGGGUUUCGGCUCGUAAAACUCUGUUAUUAGGGAAGAACAAACGUGUAAGUAACUGUGCACGUCUUGACGGUACCUAAUCAGAAAGCCACGGCUAACUACGUG